GCAAAGAUAUCAGUGUAAGUCUUAAGUUUUUUCUUCAUUUAUCAGAUCAAGAAAAAAAAGACAUUUACCUUGGUAACUUUUGGCUCCAAGAGUACAAGAGCCAUGAUAAAUAUGCAAGUAAAUGUUUAUGUAUCUUUGAAGACCUCAAGUAAGUUGCCAACUACUCUUCAUUUGUUAUCACAGAUGAUCCAGAAUGCUUCAGCAUGUGAUUUUCUAUUAUCUGACAUGCAAAACUGGGUCUCUUUAAGAAGUCAUAUCAUCUGUACCUUCAUAGCCAUGUUUCUACUGGUGGUCUCAUGGAUCAAGAAGUAUCAAGGUCUCUAGUCUGAGCUUUAAUUUUUUACCUCUUUUUGUUUUUUGCUGGAGUUCUAUCAAUGAUAUUGCAUUCAUUGGAAACAAUAGAACCAUUUCCUUUUAUUGUUUAAGUAGUUGGGACUUUACAACUUCAUUUUAUUUUUUAUUGUUCCAUAAAUUGUACCCUUCAGUUGGCAUGUGUUUUCAAGUUAUUCAAGUGUGUGUAUCUCCAUGUUCUGCUUUUGGUGAUGGAUGUCACAUCUAGUCUUUUAUUUUGCAUGUGUUGUAGAUGCAAGAUAGUUAAACAAGAGGUGCUUCUGAGACUAUUGUUAUUGCUGUAACCUAACAAGCCUUGUCCCAUAUACAUGUCUUCUAUCUGUUGUCAUGAAACUCCUUCAUGCUUGUGACAUAAAAUGCAUGUAUUUGUUUAAAAUGUGAUAACAAACCAAUCAUACAUAAGAUUCUUCUUCACUUCUUGACAACAAGCUCAUGUAAAGUCCUGACUUGCUCAAUCUCAGGUUAAUUCAUGGUUCAUUAACAGCUUUAUUAUGUUAUUUACUGGUGUCAUAUUAACCCUAUUUGCUUAAUAUCACAGAUGAGCUUUUGGGUAACUGCCCUGCUAAUAAUUUUGUGACUGCUGUAAAGCUAUCUUUAGCAUUAUCUUCAGCAUAUAAUAACUGCUAUGGUUGUUCUGUCAAUUGUAAUUGUUGAUGGAUCUGUGGCUGCAGCUGGAGGUUUCAUGAUGGGGUCUAUUUAUGUUUCUAUGGCAGAUAAAACAUGAUCAUAUGUGCAGUCAGUAUCCUCAGAUGGAACAACAUUAAGGCAUUAGAGGAUGAAAUACUUGGGAAAUUUGGACCAUGUCCUACUGGACAAAACUUGAUUAGUCUGAAUCAUCAUGUGUUGACCAAAAG
rnacentral:lncRNA from 1 species